rnacentral:rRNA from 1 species
GGAUCGUACGAUGAGUGCUAGUGUUAGGGGGUUUCCGCCCCUUAGUGCUGCAGCUAACGCAUUAAGCACUCCGCCUGGGGAGUACGGCCGCAAGGCUGAAACUCAAAGGAAUUGACGGGGGCCCGCACAAGCGGUGGAGCAUGUGGUUUAAUUCGAAGCAACGCGAAGAACCUUACCAGGUCUUGACAUCCCGCUGCCCGCCUUGGAGACAAGGCUUUCCCUUCGGGGACAGCGGUGACAGGUGGUGCAUGGUUGUCGUCAGCUCGUGUCGUGAGAUGUUGGGUUAAGUCCCGCAACGAGCGCAACCCUUGAUCUUAGUUGCCAGCAUUCAGUUGGGCACUCUAAGGUGACUGCCGGUGACAAACCGGAGGAAGGUGGGGAUGACGUCAAAUCAUCAUGCCCCUUAUGACCUGGGCUACACACGUGCUACAAUGGACGGUACAAAGGGUUGCCAACCCGCGAGGGGGAGCCAAUCCCAGAAAACCGUUCUCAGUUCGGAUUGCAGGCUGCAACUCGCCUGCAUGAAGCCGGAAUCGCUAGUAAUCGUGGAUCAGCAUGCCACGGUGAAUACGUUCCCGGGCCUUGUACACACCGCCCGUCACACCACGAGAGUUUGUAACACCCGAAGUCGGUGAGGUAACCCUUGUGGAGCCAGCCGCCGAAGGUGGGACAGAUGAUUGGGGUGAAGUCGUAAAAGGGUUAACCAA